AGGAAGACAAAACUAUGAAAAAAAUCAAUUAUGUAUAAUAAUGUAUUAAGUUUUAGUACCAUCUAUACUUGGUAGUUGAAAACCUGGUUUUCCUUGCAUUGCGGCGCUUCUUGUAUAACAAUGAUUAUGUCACAUUUCAGGAAAUUUUUUAAGCAACUUUCUUACAUUGAGUAGAUUUAUAGGCCAUUGGUGUUUUAUGACAAUAUGUUUGUUUCUUUGAAUGUCAGAAAAAAUGCAUAAACGCUACGUUACCAACAAUUUGUAAAUAAAUAAUUAUUGAAUAAAUAUUUUGAAAUAUUUUUGUGCACAUCAAGAAACAAAAAUGCUACCCUUUGAGAGUAGAAAUGUCUGAAAUGAUAUGAUCUUAAAUCAUAAAAUGUGUAUUUGUUUCAGAUAUUACGUAGCCGAAGGUCUCCGUAUUUACUCACAGGACACAUGGAAACAAGUGAUGGGAGAGCAGGGGAAACAACUGGUACAUCGGACAAGUGGUUGACUAAUACAUAUAUAUAGAAGGGAUAUGGGCAGACAACCAUGCUGUGAGAGAAGCUGCCAGUGCAUGUAUUGCAAAAUUUGGAGGUGAACAAAGAUGUUGUGGACAUGUAUAUUCCAAGGUUGUUAGAGGCUCUUCUAAUCUGUUUUAGUGAUGACAGCUGGACAGUUAGAGAUGGUAAAAUGUGAAAAUCAUACCUGAGUCCUUGCAAUAAAUUUUCCUGUGGGUAUUUGCAUGAACUUGACACUUAUUUUAGGGUCAUCUAUACCAGCAUUGUAUCCACUGUUUUUCAACAAUCUACAAGAUAAUAUACCAUCAGUGCGGCAGGGGGCGGCCCUUGCUCUCCCAAGUGUUU